GACAUAGGUGGCGAACGUUAUCCGGAAUUACUGGGCGUAAAGUGUGCGUAGGUGGUUUAAUAAGUUACUGGUGGCAAAUUGGGGCUCAACCCCUUGGAAGUUGGUAAUACUAUUAGACUAGAGGAUCGGAGAGGUUAACGGAAUUCUAUGUGUAGUGGUAAAAUGCGUAAAUAUAUAGAGGAACACCAAACGGCGAAGGCAGUUAACUAUUCGGUACCUGACGUUGAGGCACGAAAGCGUGGGGAGCAAGACGGG
rnacentral:rRNA from 1 species